GUGAGAUAAACAAACUGCUUUUCUUUAUGAAUUACCUAACCUCGGGUAUUCCUUUAUAGCAAUGCAAAAUAGACUAAGACACUAACUGACUUUUAAAAUCUUUUAUAUAUGGGGCACAAGGGAUGGUUGACUUUUGUGUGUAGAUGGUCUGCUGAGAAGCUGAGAUCCUAGAGAAUUUGGCAGGAAAGAAAUAUGGGUUGUACUUUAUUUGUGGCUGGCAAAAUUUUAUUUAGCUGCCUUUGAGAUGCCUCUGGAUCUUGUGAGGACUGCUUUGCACCUCUUUGGAGAUGUCUCACGCAUUCUUAUUUAAGUCAUAACCUUAGUUAAGGGGUUUUGGUUUUGGUGAGUUAUUUGAAAGAUAACUUCGGGGGGGAAGUUUGAAAGCCAAAAAUAUUGGCUGUUUGUCCCAGCUAAAAUUUCAUCAUGAGAGAUUUAAAAUUUUUUUUUUUUUUUUAAAAAAAGCUCUAUGGUCAGAAGUCAGCUUAAUUAAAAGCUGAUAUUCAGACUAUAAUACUUUUUUAAAAAAUAAAAGUUCCUUCUACUUUUUCUCUUUUGGAUUCUGCUAGUGGGAUUUACUUUUCAGUCAACUGAAACCCCCUUUUAAUUAUGUGAUUGGUUAUUCUGUUUCCUUUUUAUCUUUUUCACAUGAUUUUUGCUAAGAAAAAUGUAAAUCUUCAUUGGCCCUUCUGGAAAGCUUAAAAUAUCCAAAUUGGUACAUCUAAGACUUGUUAUUUCAUUUUCUUUCACUUCUACUCCUCCUUCUUUUUUGCCAUCUUCAAUUCCACAUAAAGAAAUCUAGACAGGACUUCUAGCAGCUCUAAGACCCCUUAAGGAACACAGAAAAAGUGCCACACACCCCCUUUUCGGGGUCAUAUAUUUUUCUCAUGGAUCCCCAAGAGUUGUGGACAGGUUCCUCUCAGUUCUAAGGCUCUGCUGUUUUGCAUUAAAUUCCGUGAUCUCUCUAACUUCUGGGGGUACCAGGAAUUACUUCGUACUGUGAGAGAAAACUUAAUCUUUGUGUGUGUGAUAGCUAGUGGGUCACCAGCAAAGGCUGCAAUUCUGGGGGGUGGCUGAGAGCAGUUACAAUGGAUGGUUAUUACUGUAUGGGGCUAUUCAUUUGUUUGUGCAUUUAGAUCAGAAAAGUGAGGUUUGGAAACUUGGAGGCUAUGGCUACAUCACAUCAUCAAGGGAUAAGACUCCCAUGGGGGAUGAACUGAUCACAGAGUGGGCUGAUUGACAUUGGGUUACCUUUGCCGUGAGGUGCCGUGAGGUACCCUGUGGAAGUGUUGCACAGCUUGGUCCUGUGGCAUUUCCUUUUUUUUUUUAAGGUCCCAGGAUUCACUGUAAAAAAUGAGGUUCUUGAUUUCUGAGGAUCUAGACGAUUUGCCUUCCUACUGCUUCUGCUUUUCACUAUAUAAGUGAAAAGACCUCAAAAGCUGCAAAUGUUUUGUUUGCGCUAUUCAUUAAUGGGCUCUACCCUGAGGUCAGUGGUCCAGUUUUAAAAUGGAGACUAAAUUAAAAGCCACCUAUCUAACUAAAAUUGGUCUCCUUAUAAAAUCCUCUGGUGAUUCUCAAUGAUUUUGUGUUACCUUAGUAUUCAUUUUAAUUUUCCUCUAACAUACCCAAAUUCUUUCUUCAAAAAGCUUAAAUUCUCUCUUUGUGCAUUGAGAUGUAAAUUUGCAACCCUGGUUUCUCUAAAACUCAAUAAGCACUUCAACCAUGCGGGACAAAUAAACUUUAUUUAAAAAUAUUUUUUAUUUUUUAUUCUUUUAGAGACAGGGUCUCACUCUGUCACCCAGGCUGGAGUGCAAUGUUAUGAUCCUAGCUCAGGGUCACCUCAAAUUCCUGGGCUGAAACUAUCCUCCCACCUCAGCUUCCCAAGUAGCUGGGACUCCAGGCACACACCGCCAUGCCUAACUAAUUUCUUUAUUUUUUAUGUUUUAGUAUAGACGGGGUCUUGCCUUGUUGCCCAGGCUAGUAUUGAACUCCUGGCUUCAAGUGAACCCCCUCCUGCGUGAGGCAUUGCACCCAGCCCAGACAAUCUUUAACUUGUUUCAUUUACAGAGGCACAAAUUAAUCUAACUGUCCUUUUAAACUAGUGAGUUUUAUCUGUCUCAUGACUAAAAUUUUAAAAUAAAAGCAAAUAUAGUUUACAUAUUUUCCCUACCCAAAUCUUAUGUUGAAUUGUAAUCCCGAAUGUUGGAAUUGGGGCCUGCUGGGUGGUGUUCGGGUCAUGGGGGUAGAUCUCUCAUGGCUUGAUGCUGUCCUCAGGAUAGUGACUGAGUUUUCCUGUAAUCUAGUUGGUUAAAGUGUGUGGCACCUCCCCCACUCUCUCUCUUGCUCCUGCUUUGCCAUGUGAAAUGCCUGCUCCCAUUUUGCUCUCUGCCAUGAGUAAAAGCUUCCUGAGGCCUCACGAGAGGCUGAGCAGAUGCCAGCACUAUGCUUCCUGUACAGCCUGCAGAAUCAUGAGCCAAUGAAAUCUCUUUUCUUUAUAAAUUACCCAGUCUCAAGUAUUUCGUUAUAAAACAGCCUAGCAAAAAAGCUAUAAAAUCUUUAUUUGUGUUUGUAUAUUAUGUAUAAAUGUGUAUAUGUCUGUGUUUGUAUAUUGUCUACAUGGUACUGAGUUGACUUAUAAAUAAAUGAGUACUCAUAAAUUAAAUAAUCUCAAAAUUUUUAAAUUCAUAUGACUUUAGUAACCUUUGAUAUAAAAAGCAGAUUUUUAAAUUGUUGGUAAAAUAAAAUAGAAAUGUCUUCAGAGUUUUAGACUUCUUUAUCUUAAUCUACUGGUCAAACAAAUGUAUGUUGUUUCUGCUAAAUGUUUUAAGGUCAAAAAACUUGUUUCUGUGAUAUUUUUGAUAAUUGCUUGAUUUGUCUUUAAGCAUAUGUCUUUGGUUUUGAGCCUUUAGAUUCCAGAGUCUAGACAGGUGGUCAUGGUGAGGCUUCCACAGCACCUAGACCACCAGCUGCAGGGUAGAGUCAAGCCCGAUACAUCCUCCCUGGCCCAGCUCUGCCUCCUGGCCAUGCUGGAAGGGGAUAGAUCCUCCAUUAACUGUCUUCGCAGCUCUGUCAUUUGUCCUGGGCUUUGCAUUUGAUACAUAACAAUUAAAAUUGCUUUACUUCCUAGCUUUCUCACUCGAAAUUGGGGUUACUAGAGUUAAAAUUGUAGAUAAUAUAUGUAAUUAAAACUACUAGAUAUAAGAGAAAUAAUUCUAUAUAAAGAGUGUACAAAGAAUGUAGGAUGUGUUUUGGGUGAGGAAGGUUAUAAGAAAAACAUGAAGCCAUAUGCUGUGGCUCAUGCCUGUAAUCCCAGCACUUUGGGAGGCUGAGGCAGGAGGACUGCUUGAGCCCAGGAGUUCACGACUAGCCUGGGCAACAUAGGGAGACCCCAUUUCUACACACACACAACUUGAGAAUGUGGUUUUUGUUAAAGGAAAAGUAUUUUUUUUCUAGUUUAGAGGUUAUUUGAAGGCUCCUUUAAGUUGAAAGGAUAAAAAAGAAUGACAGGAAAAACUGAAUGGAUAUAAAAAAUUGGGGAAAGAAAGAGAAUUGAAAAAAUUGUGAGAGAUUAUAAAAUGUUCAUGCAAAUCUUUUCUGUAGUCAAAGCUGAUUGAGAUUAGAUGGAUUUGUUUAUAUUUUAUUAAAUUAACUUUAGUGUUAAUAAUACACUGAUGAAAAGUACAAUUUGGUUUUCUCUUUUGAACAAGAUUUUCAUGUAGUACUAAUAAGAAAUGGUAAAAUAUUUGUUCACCUUUUCAGUAAAAAAGGAAGAAGACUUUGCCUCAUGCUGUCUUUAUUAGGUCUUUUGAUUGUUUGGAAAACUUGAUCUCCUCUCUAUCAAAUAGUAAAGGGUUUUUUUUCACUUUUUGAAAUCUUUUAAUUAUCAUUUUGACUAAAUGAAUGACUAAUAUUUUAUAGUGACUUGUGAUCUUAUUUUGAUAUCAAGUGUUUUAAACCUUUAAUAUUUGACAAACAUCCCAAAAUCAAAUUUCAAAUUCUAAAUUAAGUGUUUUUUAAGCUUGAACUAAAUAUUUGGACAUUCCAAAAAGAGCCCCUGGAAGUCCAAGAGAGACAUAUUAGGCUUAUUUGGUAUGUUAAAAUUAUAUGGGAAGCAUUGUCAAAUAAAAAGUGAUGUCUAACUUUCUUUGAGUUAUAUUCAUAUGGAUAUGUUAUUAAUGUAUUCCAAAAUUGUAUGAGAUUCCUAAAAUAUUAUAUAUCUUGGUAUAUUCAGUAAAUUGCUUAAUUCUGAUGCUCUUUUUCUAAAAGCUCUCUGUUCAUUCUAAAGUGAUGUGUCUUCAAGGAAGUUCAUGGGAAAGACUGAUAGGACACAAUUGAAAACACUGGUUAUAUUACAAAAGCUUUGACUGGUAAUUUUGUGUCAUAUUUUCAAAUGUGACCAGGCUGCUUUGAGGAAUUGCAGUUUACUUUAAAGCCAACAGACUUGGAAAAAGACUGGCCGGGUACCAUAUCUACACUGUUCCCUUACAGGGUUCCUGACCUUGUGAAAAGAAAACUGAGUAAUGACCUACAGACAUGGUUAAUCAGUUAUACCCUUCUCCUGACAUACAGCUAAUCACCAUAGACUAAUGCAGACCUCCUUAUGAAACAGGCGUUUCUACCUCCAAGGGAAAAAGAUAACAAAUCUUUGGCUGACCAACUGAUGUUUAUCAGCAAUGCUUCCUCACAUCAAAUCUUUAUCAAAAUGAAGAAAUGUGAAAUGUGAUAUACAAAACAGUAUCACUUGGUUCAGAGCUCUAAAAUGGAGUCAAGAAGCCACUCUAUUACUACCUACACAACAUGAAACCCUGCAGGAAAAAAAAAAAGGAACAGGAACUUGCCUUGAACCUUUGAACUGGGCUAAACUACAAUGACCACAUCUUAGAAAGCAGCUGAAUUUCACCAGCACUGCAACUCCUGCAUAGCAACAACCAAUGUACCAUGGACUUAUGUACUAAGCCAGCCACCUCCACCAAUGAUAAUUCUUUCAAAACAACUUGUGCAAUCACUCUCGGCAUCCUUUGAAAAAUUCCUACUCUCCUUCCUGUCUUUGGAAAACAAUUUGGCUCUUAGCCAAAUCCGUGUCUCCCAAAUUGCAACUUUUAAGGCCUCAAAUGCCUAGUCUUACUGCAUUGCACUCUGGUGUUUUGCCCCUUCUUACUUGACAUAUUAUACUUACAUCUCCAUUUCUAGUUGUGUUGAUUUUUUUAUUUUUUUAUUUUUAUUUUUAUUUUUGGAUAGUGUCUCACUCUGUCACCCAGGCUGGAGUACAGUGAUGCUGUCAGGGCUCACUGCAGUCUUGACCACCUGGGUUCAAGUGAUCCUCCCGCCUCAGCCUCCCAUGUAGCUGGGACUACAGGCAUGCACCACCAUGCCUGGCUAGUUUUCUUACUUUUGGUAGACACAUGGUUUCACCAUGUUGCCCAGGCUGGUCACAAACUUCUGGGUUCAAGUGAUCCACCUGCCUUGGCCUCCCGAAGUGCUUGUAUUACAGGUGUAAGCCACUGUGCCUGGCCUUGUAUCAACUUUUUGAUAGUAUCUCUUGACAGAAUGUAAAUGUGAGUAAUACAGACUCAGCAUGGUAGAGAAAUGAUAUAUGAAGGAGUGGUAUUACAGAGACAGGAUAGAUUAUUCGAUAAAUUCGGCUCUGGGACAAUUGGAUAUCAAACCAUAUGCCCUAUUCAAAAAUCAGUUGUUGGUGGAUCAAAAUUUUAUUUUAAAACUUUAUUUUUUAAAUAAAUUUUUGUUUUAUUUUAUCAUAUAUAUGUGUGUGUGUGUAUAUAUAUAAGCAUCUGCAUGGAAUUUUUCCCAUCUUUUUAAGUGUUUGAGGGUACACAGUAGAUAUAUAUAUAUUUAUGGGGUACAUAAAAUAUUUUCUACAGGCAUGCGAUGCAAAAUAGUCACAUCAGAGUGAAUGGGGUAGCCAUCCCCCCAGGCACUUAUUCUUUGUAUUAUAAACAAUCCAAUUGUACUCUUUUAGUUAUUUUGAAAUAUAGAACUUAAUUAUUUUUGACUACAGUCACCCUGUAGUGGUAGCAAAAUACUAAGUCUUAUUCAUUCUUUCAAACUAUUUUUGUACCUUUUAACCAUGCCCAACUCCCGCCUGCCCAGGACCCCACUACCCUUUGCAGCCUCUGGUAGCCAUCCUUCUACUCUCUAUGUCCAUAAGUUCACCUGUUUUGAUUUUUAGUUCCCACAAAUAAGUGAGAACAUGCAAAAUUUUUCUUUCUCUGCCUGCCUUAUUUCACUUAACAUCAUGACCUCAAGUUCCAUCCAUGUUGUUGCCAAUUACAGGAUCUCAUUCCUUUUUUAUGGCUGCACAGUACUCCAUUGCUUAUAUGUGCCAUAUUUUCUUUAUCCAUUUAUCUGUUGAUGGAGACUUAGGUUGCUUCCAAAGCUUGACUGUUAUGAAUAGUGCUGCAAUAAACAUGGAGUGCAGAUAUAACCUUGAUACACUGAUUUCCAUUCUUUUGUGUAUAUACCCAGGGGUGGGUGUAUAUACCCAGAGUGAAAUUCCGUCUCGGAAAAAAAAAAAAAAAAAAAAAAAAAGAGUUCUUUUGUGACCUAAAUAUGGUCUAUCCUUGAGAAAAUCUAUGUGCUGAGGAAAGAUGGUGUAUUUUACAGAUGUU
rnacentral:lncRNA from 1 species